CGGCCUCGCAUUGAGAUGGGGCCCCGCGGCCCAUUAGCUUGUUGGUGAGGUAACGGCUCACCAAGGCUUCGAUGGGUAGCUGGUCUGAGAGGACGAUCAGCCACACUGGGACUGAGACACGGCCCAGACUCCUACGGGAGGCAGCAGUGGGGAAUCUUGCACAAUGCGCGAAAGCGUGAUGCACGCAACGCCGCGUGGGGGAAGACGGCCCUUCCGGGUUGUAAACCCCUUUCAGUUGGGACGAAGCUUACGUCGGUGAAUAGCCGGUUGGAGUGACGGUACCUUCAGAAGAAGCCCCGGCUAACUACGUG
rnacentral:rRNA from 1 species